rnacentral:lncRNA from 1 species
GAAAGCUCUCGGCUGUUUUCAGUUUUCCUUCCCUGUAAGUCACCCACUCUCCCUACUGGCCGGCAUCUGAGGUCGCCCCGCUACGCAGAGCUGGUUACCCAACCUCUGGCGACGACAGACAGGCCCAGAGCCUCUGGAGUUCAUCUGUACCACUGACAAGCCCAGGAUUUAUUUCCCUUUGCUCUAAUAAAGCUUGUUUCCUUCCUCAACACGAUACCGUUUCUUUUUGUAAUGGAAAGGGCUCGCAUUGCUGUUCCUCACCCACUGAAACCGCAAACGAUCACAUGGCUUACUCUGGUUCAUUCAGCAAACGGGUAUUAUUGUCACCAGGGGCUAGUCUUUCUGUUUUUUUUUUUUUUUUUUAGAACCCAACUCAAGAAAAAGCUAAAUAUAGUCGGUUAUCAGUAAGAAGCAAAUAGGAAUCAAAGUCCAGGAAUUUCUGCUUCUUAGUUCUACGAUCAGCACCUGCCCAAACUAGGAACAUUUUUCAAUACUGUUGCUGUAUGUUGACACCAUGAGUUUUUUUUUUUUUCCCUCUCACAGAAGCUUUCAGCAGCAAACGGCUUUCCUUCUAGAGGACUCUACAUUAAAUCGGGGCAAAUAUCAGGGCAAACUAAAUUCCUCCCUCAUCACUUCCCUGGGUUGGUGACCUACACAGAAGAGCAGAGCAGUAACUGGACCAGCCAGAUCCAGCCCAGCUGAGCCCACGCACAGGAAGCGUGGGCUGUGAAGUGGCCACACCCCCAGCCGCUGCUCCAGAAGGCUCUCCCCGCACAGGCCUAGCCUCACAAGCGUGUGAGUUGGGAACACGCCACCGAGGGAGGCGGAGAGGCCGCGGACCACUUCUCCUGCAGCAGCAAGGCGCUUCCGGUGAUGUGCACGGCAAGGCGUCCCUGAAGCCAACAGCCCAUUACAGGGAGAGUUAACCCAUAAAGCGGGAUGGAUCACAAGAAGGAGCUCCAGUCCCAUUUGGUUUAAACAAACAGCUCGGAGUCACAGAAAGCACCAGGUUUGCAUCUGAGAGCUGUGUUCACGCCCGCUUCUUUCACAAGAUGCUGAUGGGUACGCGAUGAGCCCACUCUACCUGGGCUAUAGUUUGAUCCGCUCAGUGUUCAUAACCUGGGGGAUGAGAAAACACCUCCCAGAUCCACCAAGGGAAACGGUACCACUGCAUUAAAUAGGCAAGAAGUUCAGGAUAAGCAUACUUUAGGGCUUUACACAAUGGAAUGACGCUGCUGCACGACAGACAACAAAACACAUAACGUGCAUGUAUGAAUAUGAUGGAUGCGUUCUUUGCAUUCGCAGCAAGAAAGUGGAAACAACUUAAGCUUCUUUUCUUGUGUCCUGAAGUAAAAUUCAUGAAGAACUUCUCCAAACAUUCCUCACCAAAACCCUCUCACACUUACAAAGAGGUUCUAAAACUAGAGGUGAAGCAAAACUCUCUAGAGCUGUGGCUCAGACACUUGAGCAUCACUUCAGAGUCAUUUCAAAUACUCAGGAGAUUUGUAUACACAUUAAUGUUUGAGAAGCACCGGCCUAUAGCACUUUUUCAAUUAAGCUUUUCCUUUUUUUUCUGUAAAAAAAAAUUUUUUUUUUAACUGAGGUAUAGGUUUGUUUUGUUUUUAUGGCCCCACCUGCAGCAUAUGGAAGUUCCCAGUCCAGGGGUCGAAUUGGAGCUGCAGCUGAGGCCUAUGCUGAAGCUUGUGGCAACACCAGAUCCUUAACCCACGGAGCGAGGCCAGGGAUCAACCCUCCAUCCUCACGGAAACAAUGUCGGGGUCUUAGCCCAAGGAGCCGCAACGGGAACUCCUCGAGUAAGCUUUAAUUACAUACAAGAGCUAGACUCUGAAUGAACUCCAUGUUACAGUUCAUUAGAACAGGGUGGAGGCUGCUUUGUCAGAUACGAGGAGGCUUUCCUUCAUCUGUGGCUUGACGCUACCUAAGCAACCAUCGCCAGUGUCGGGGUUUAGCACACCACACGCACUGAAGGCAAAGGGUACGGGGAUGUUCUCAGGUCGUCAGCAUUAAUGUCUCAACAGGACUUACUUAAGAAACUAGUCCUCAAAGUCAGAACUUCUAAAUUUUGUCGUCAGUGCUUCUCAAGCUUUGGCAGGCCUGAGAAUCACCAGGGGAAUUUGUUUUAAAAGGAAGAUAGUAAGGUCUCACCACCCAGGAGUCCUAUUAGGUUCAUCAGGAGUGAUUCUAGCAAUUCUAAGAAACGUGACAUCGGGGCUGGGAUUAGAAGGCACCCAGGGCACAUUUAGGGAAGUACUUACCCUCAGGUGCAAGCAAAUGCAAGACUGCCACCUGAGCAAACCUGACUGUAUGUGCCUCCUUAAAUGUCACAUUCAGGGCAUCUCGCUGGACUCAUCCUGGUCUUGGGCUUGUAUUGGGUGAGUCCAUGGACCAGCAGCACCAGCACAGUCUGGAGCCUUUUUAGAAAUACAGAAUCGUGGCCUAACUCCAGGACCACUGAAUCAGAAUCUGCAGGUUAACAAGAUUCUCAAGUUACUCUUUCAUUAAUUUUUUUUAGGGCCGCACCCGUGGCACAUGGAGGUUCCCAGGCUAGGGUCCAAUCGGAGCUACAGCUGCUGGCCUACGCCACAGCCACAGCAACGCGGGAUCCUCAACCCACUGAGUGAGGCCAGGGAUCAAACCCACGUCCUCAUGGAUGCUAGUCAGCUUCAUUACCGCUAAGCCAUGACGGGAAAUCCUCUCAGGUUAUUUCUUGUGCACACUGAAGUUUGAGAAACACUGAAAACAAGGGGAUGCCCAAACAAAGUCUUGCAACUGACACGAAAAUGCUAAGCUCUUUGUAACACAACAUGAUACAGGAACGUGAGCAGCGGCUGCCCACUGAGCUCAAAGGACAGCCCUACACUGACCAGCAGUUUUGUCGCUCUCUCUUAACCCCUGGCCUGAAUAACGACAUGAAAGAGAUGCUUGUUAAUCUGCAGGUGGAAUAAAACAAGAGGCUGCUGGUGCAAAAAGAAAGAACCAGGCCAUCUUGACAGGCCGGAGGACAGGUCGCACGCUGAACUAUAAUAAGUGUAGGAAAAAUUUUACACUUAAGCUAAAAAUUUCAAUAAUGAAUGUAUAUAAGAUGUGUGACAGUUUGCCUGGCAGCAAAACCUAUGAAAGAUCCUGGGAAUAAGUCCGGAAGUAAAUCAUGCAUUUAAUAUAAUGGCAUUUCACAUCAGUGGGAGAAAAUGAAUAAUUUAAUAAAUGGUGUUGGAAUAAUCGGGUAGCUAACCGGGAAAAAAAAUGAAAGUGUACCUCCACCCGCACGUCUUACAGCAAAAUGAAUUCCCGAAGGAUCGAAGAGUUAAACAUAAAAGCAAAUCUAUUACAGUAUGAGAAGAAAAUAUGAGGAAAACUUUCAAAAAAUAACCUCAGAGUGGGUGAGGCCUCUCUAAGCAAGAACAACAUCCGAAUGAUAUAAACAAAACCCAGAGGCUCUUUUUUAAAAGUGGAGACCUUUGACUGUAUCAAGAAAAGCACCUGCUGAGAACUAUGUCUAGAUACUCAUGCUGCAACAGAACGAAGGGUGGGGAAAAAAAAAUGUAAUGUAUACAUGUAAGGAUAACUUGAUCCCCUUGCUGUACAGUGGGAAAAUAAAAUU